rnacentral:rRNA from 1 species
UACGUAGGUGGCAAGCGUUGUCCGGAUUUACUGGGUGUAAAGGGCGUGCAGCCGGGAAUGCAAGUCAGAUGUGAAAUCCCGCGGCUCAACCGCGGAACUGCAUUUGAAACUGUGUUUCUUGAGUACUGGAGAGGCAGACGGAAUUCCUAGUGUAGCGGUGAAAUGCGUAGAUAUUAGGAGGAACACCAGUGGCGAAGGCGGUCUGCUGGACAGCAACUGACGGUGAGGCGCGAAAGCGUGGGGAGCAAACAGG